ACGGAAGGCAGCAGUGGGGAAUAUUGGACAAUGGGGGAAACCCUGAUCCAGCGACGCCGCGUGAGUGAAGAAGUAUUUCGGUAUGUAAAGCUCUAUCAGCAAGGAAGAAAAUGACGGUACUUGACUAAGAAGCUCCGGCUAAAUACGUGCCAGCAGCCGCGGUAAUACGUACGGAGCAAGCGUUAUCCGGAUUUACUGGGUGUAAAGGGAGCGUAGACGGUAAAGCAAGUCUGAAGUGAAAUCCCGGGGCUCAACCCCGGAACUGCUUUGGAAACUGUUUAACUAGAGUGCAGGAGAGGUAAGCGGAAUUCCUAGUGUAGCGGUGAAAUGCGUAGAUAUUAGGAGGAACACCAGUGGCGAAGGCGGCUUACUGGACUGUAACUGACGUUGAGGCUCGAAAGCGUGGGGAGCAAACAGGAUUAGAUACCCUGGUA
rnacentral:rRNA from 1 species